CGUGACAUGUUGACACUUUAUUUCCACACAUUUCCUGAGAGCUAGCUUUGCAGUUAUCUUCCUUGUUUUGACUUCCUCUUCGCAGCGCCGGGGCGCAAUGGUCAAACGAACUGUCUUGUGUCGCGGUGUCAUCACAGUGAGCUCCUGCGAGAGGGGAGAGGAGCGCCGCACUCGGACUCAUCCGCACCAGCGUCCACAGGGCCAUCUCUGGAGUGGCGCGAGACCAGGCCCCCCACUUAGUGUAUUUGACAAGCUGAGCUUGACACUCUGUAUCAGUGAGUGUCAGUUUGUCAAAUACCCCAAGUGAGGUGUCACUUGUCGACACAUCAAGCUCGCCCUGGGGUCACUCCACAGACCGACCUGCCCCCCCCCCUCACGGGACGAUCUGCACACCGGGGACACUGAAGAAACAGGAGGCUGGAGCUGUUGCCCCUGCGAAACUUUUGAGGAUGUAGACGAGGACCAUCUUGUUCGCAGGGGUUAAAGUGGUAAUGCCGAAGGUAGACAGACGUUUAGCCGUUGUUUCAUCUAGUGGAUACAACUGCACAACAUUUAGAAAAGCCUUGUGCAAAAUUACAGUUUCACAGCUUAUUGGCAUGAUCAAUCACUUUAUUUCGCAGUAAUCAUAAUCUAUGUAACUCAUGAAUAAGCAGAGUUUUAACCUGAUGCUAAUGCGGUAUUAUUAAUGUUAAAAAUAUUUUAAAAGCCUGAACCCAACAACAAAUACUGUAUCUCAGCCGUGUGCGCCACAUAUUGUUAUUUCCAUCACACAAUGUACCUCCAAAUAGCUACAAAGGUUCAAAUAACUUGAAAAAUGCGGUUUAAAAACCCAUCGCGUCACUAGUGUGAGGUUUUGAGUGUCAUACACAGAUAUGUUGCCUUGGAUAGAAACAUGAAUGAGUAAAAAUGCACGGGUUUUUGUGAAAGAGCAAAUCGAUGUACUGGUCAAUGUACACUCAGUUUCCACCUACAGUGAUAAUUAACUGUUUAGACAGCUAAAUAUCUGUUACCUGCUCAAGUGUUUGCUUCAUUCAGUAGACUCUCUUUUUUUGUUUAUUUGUUAAGUGUCCUUUCUCUGCCAACGUGUGCGACCACAUGUCUCCGCAAGUGAAAAUGCCAGAAAGCAGCGCAAUAAAAUAUGACCCGUGGCCCUGGA